GACGAACGCUGGCGGCGUGCUUAACACAUGCAAGUCGUACGGUAAGGCCCUUUCGGGGGUUCACGAGUGGCGAACGGGUGAGUAACACGUGAGUAACCUGCCCACAACUUUGGGAUAACGCUAGGAAACUGGUGCUAAUACUGGAUAUGUGCUCCUGCUGCAUGGUGGGGGUUGGAAAGCUCCGGCGGUUGUGGAUGGACUCGCGGCCUAUCAGCUUGUUGGUGGGAUAGUGGCCUACCAAGGCGGCGACGGGUAGCCGGCCUGAGAGGGUGACCGGCCACGUUGGGACUGAGAUACGGCCCAGACUCCUACGGGAGGCAGCAGUGGGGAAUAUUGCACAAUGGGCGCAAGCCUGAUGCAGCAACGCCGCGUGCAGGAUGACGGCCUUCGGGUUGUAAACCGCUUUCAGCAGGGACGAAGCUUUUUGUGACGGUACCUGCAGAAGAAGCACCGGCUAACUACGUG
rnacentral:rRNA from 1 species